rnacentral:rRNA from 1 species
UCCUUAGUUGCCAUCAGGUUAAGCUGGGCACUCUAAAGAGACUGCCGUCGUCAGACGGGAGGAAGGAGGGGAUGAUGUCAAGUCAUCAUGGCCCUUAUGNCCAGGGCUACACACGUGAUACAAUGGUCGGUACAAAGGAGCCUGCCUACCUGG